UACGUAGGGGGCUAGCGUUGUCCGGAAUCAUUGGGCGUAAAGCGCGUGUAGGCGGUCCGGUAAGUCCGCUGUGAAAGUCGGGGGCUCAACCCUCGGAUGCCGGUGGAUACUGUCGGGCUUGAGUACGGAAGAGGCGAGUGGAAUUCCUGGUGUAGCGGGUGAAAUGCGCAGAUAUCAGGAGGAACACCAAUUGCGAAGGCAGCUCGCUGGGACGUUACUGACGCUGAGACGCGAAAGCGUGGGGAGCAAACAGG
rnacentral:rRNA from 1 species